CACGUAUUUAGCCGGGGCUUCUUAGUCAAGUACCGUCAUUUUCUUCCUUGCUGAUAGAAGUUUACAUACCGAAAUACUUCAUCCUUCACGCGGCGUCGCUGCAUCAGGGUUUCCCCCAUUGUGCAAUAUUCCCUACUGCUGCCUCCCGUAGGAGUUGGCCGUGUCUCAGUCCCAAUGUGGCCGAUCACUCUCUCAAGUCGGCUACUGAUCGUUGCCUUGGUGGGCCUUACCCCUCAACUAGCUAAUCAGACGCGGGUCCAUCUUGUACCACCGGAGUUUUUCACACUGUAUCAUGCGAUACUGUGCGCUUAUGCGGUAUUAGCUAGUCGUUUCCAACUGUUACGUCCCCUGUACAAGGCAGGUUACCCACGCGUUACCUACACCCGUACCGCCUAC
rnacentral:rRNA from 1 species